GAUGAACGCUGGCGGCGUGCCUAAUACAUGCAAGUCGAGCGAACGGACGAGAAGCUUGCUUCUCUGAUGUUAGCGGCGGACGGGUGAGUAACACGUGGAUGACCUACCUAUAAGACUGGGAUAACUUCGGGAAACCGGAGCUAAUACCGGAUAAUAUUUUGAACCGCAUGGUUCAAAAGUGAAAGACGGUCUUGCUGUCACUUAUAUAUGGAUCCGCGCUGCAUUAGCUAGUUGGUAAGGUAACGGCUUACCAAGGCAACGAUGCAUAGCCGACCUGAGAGGGUGAUCGGCCACACUGGAACUGAGACACGGUCCAGACUCCUACGGGAGGCAGCAGUAGGGAAUCUUCCGCAAUGGGCGAAAGCCUGACGGAGCAACGCCGCGUGAGUGAUGAAGGUCUUCGGAUCGUAAAACUCUGUUAUUAGGGAAGAACAUAUGUGUAAGUAACUGUGCACAUCUUGACGGUACCUAAUCAGAAAGCCACGGCUAACUACGUG
rnacentral:rRNA from 1 species